rnacentral:rRNA from 1 species
UGGGGAAUAUUGGACAAUGGGCGCAAGCCUGAUCCAGCAAUGCCGCGUGUGUGAAGAAGGCCUUCGGGUUGUAAAGCACUUUUAUCGGGAGCGAAAUACCACGGGUUAAUAACCUAUGGGGCUGACGGUACCCGAGGAAUAAGCACCGGCUAACUUCGUGCCAGCAGCCGCGGUAAUACGAAGGGUGCAAGCGUUAAUCGGAAUUACUGGGCGUAAAGGGUGCGUAGGCGGUUUGUUAAGUCUGUUGUGAAAUCCCCGGGCUCAACCUGGGAAUGGCAAUGGAUACUGGCAAGCUAGAGUGUGUCAGAGGAUGGUGGAAUUUCCGGUGUAGCGGUGAAAUGCGUAGAGAUCGGAAGGAACAUCAGUGGCGAAGGCGGCCAUCUGGGACAACACUGACGCUGAAGCACGAAAGCGUGGGGAGCAAACAGGAUUAGAUACCCUGGUAGUCCACGCCCUAAACGAUGCGAACUGGAUGUUGGUCUCAACUCGGAGAUCAGUGUCGAAGCUAACGCGUUAAGUUCGCCGCCUGGGGAGUACGGUCGCAAGACUG